rnacentral:lncRNA from 1 species
GAGCCCCGAGGUGUUGAGCACCCUUCUCUCCCACUGCAGCUAACCACAGCCGAGGGCACUCAGCACGUCACAGGACCAGGCCCAGCACCAGGACGUGCCCCCAGAAGAGCAUCGGGAAAGGAAGGAGCCCCCAACUUGGGGGCUGAUGGGACAGCGCUGCAGUGCUUUGGCAGGCAGUUGCUGUCAUAGGCUUUCCUCCCACCCCAGGCCUACGCCAAGAUCAAGAGCAGCUAGGCCCCAAAUCUGGUCCAGGCCAAACACCAGGGAGAUAGGCUGGUGUGAAGGUGACUGUCUUCUGGCCUGCUCCCCCAGCCUCGCCUCAGAUAGCAUCCGGGUCAAACCGCGCCGCCUCUCCUUGCAUUGCUGUCCUGGGCUCUACCAAGAGCAGAGGAGCAACCCAGUGCAUAGAGAAAAUACCUGCAGCUUCCAGCUUUGA